rnacentral:rRNA from 1 species
ACACGACUACAUUAGAUACCCGGGUAGUCCAGGGUGUAAACGCUGCAGACUUGGUGUUGGAAAUCCUUCGAGGGUAUUCAGUGCCGGAGAGAAGUUGUUAAGUCUGCUACUUGGGAGUACGUCCGCAAGGAUGAAACUUAAAGGAAUUGGCGGGGGAGCGACCGCAACGGAGGAGCGUGCGGUUUAAUUGGAUUCAACACCGGAAAACUCACCAGGGAGACUGUUACAUGAAACCCAGACUAAUGAUCUUGGCUGAUUUUCAG